rnacentral:rRNA from 1 species
UCCAGACUCCUACGGGAGGCAGCAGUGGGGGAUAUUGCACAAUGGGGGGAACCCUGAUGCAGCGACGCCGCGUGGGUGAAGAAGCGCCUCGGCGCGUAAAGCCCUGUCAGCAGGGAAGAAAAUGACGGUACCUGAAGAAGAAGCCCCGGCUAACUACGUGCCAGCAGCCGCGGUAAUACGUAGGGGGCAAGCGUUAUCCGGAAUUACUGGGUGUAAAGGGAGCGUAGACGGUUAAGUAAGUCUGGAGUGAAAGGCCGGGGCCCAACCCCGGGACUGCUCUGGAAACUAUUGAACUUGAGUGCAGGAGAGGUAAGCGGAAUUCCUAGUGUAGCGGUGAAAUGCGUAGAUAUUAGGAGGAACACCAGUGGCGAAGGCGGCUUACUGGACUGUAACUGACGUUGAGGCUCGAAAGCGUGGGGAGCAAACAGGAUUAGAUACCCUAGUAGA